UACAGAGGGGGCAAGCGUUAUUCGGAAUUAUUGGGCGUAAAGGGCGCGUAGGCGGUUUUUUAAGUCGGAUGUGCAAUCCCCAGGCUCAACCUGGGAACUGCAUCCGAGACUGGAAGGCUAGAGUACUGGAGAGGGUGGUGGAAUUCCUCGUGUAGCGGUGCAAUGCGUAGAGAUGAGGAGGAACACCAGUGGCGAAGGCGGCCCCCUGGACUGUCACUGACGCUGAGGCGCGAAAGCGUGGGUAGCUAUCUGG
rnacentral:rRNA from 1 species